CCUACGGGUGGCUGCAGUGGGGAAUAUUGGACAAUGGGCGAAAGCCUGAUCCAGCCAUGCCGCGUGUGUGAAGAAGGCCUUCGGGUUGUAAAGCACUUUCAGUGGGGAAGAAAGCCUUGGGGCUAAUACCCUCGAGGAAGGACAUCACCCACAGAAGAAGCACCGGCUAACUCCGUGCCAGCAGCCGCGAUAAUACGGAGGGUGCGAGCGUUAAUCGGAAUUACUGGGCGUAAAGCGCGCGUAGGCGGUCUGAUAAGCCGGUUGUGAAAGCCCCGGGCUCAACCUGGGAACGGCAUCCGGAACUGUCAGGCUAGAGUGCAGGAGAGGAAGGUAGAAUUCCCGGUGUAGCGGUGAAAUGCGUAGAGAUCGGGAGGAAUACCAGUGGCGAAGGCGGCCUUCUGGACUGACACUGACGCUGAGGUGCGAAAGCGUGGGUAGCAAACAGGAUUAGAUACCCCAGUAGUC
rnacentral:rRNA from 1 species